GAUCAUGGCUCGGGAUGAACGCUGGCGGCGUGCUUAACACAUGCAAGUCGAGCGAAGCACUUUACUUGGAUUUCUUCGGAAUGACGAGUAUUGUGACUGAGCGGGCGGCGGGUGAAGGUAACGCGUGGGUAACCUGCCUCAUACAGGGGGAUAACAGUUAGAAAUGACUGCUAAUACCGCAUAAGACCACAGCACCGCAUGGUGCAGGGGUAAAAACUCCGGUGGUAUGAGAUGGACCCCG
rnacentral:rRNA from 1 species